rnacentral:rRNA from 1 species
UACGUAGGGUGCAAGCGUUGUCCGGAAUUAUUGGGCGUAAAGAGCUCGUAGGCGGUCUGUCGCGUCGGCUGUGAAAACCCGAGGCUCAACCUCGGGCCUGCAGUCGAUACGGGCAAACUGGAGUGUUGCAGGGGAGACUGGAAUUCCUGGUGUAGCGGUGAAAUGCGCAGAUAUCAGGAGGAACACCGGUGGCGAAGGCGGGUCUCUGGGCAACAACUGACGCUGAGACGCGAAAGCGUGGGGAGCGAACAGG